rnacentral:rRNA from 1 species
CCUACGGGAGGCUGCAGUGAGGAAUAUUGGUCAAUGGGCGGAAGCCUGAACCAGCCAAGUAGCGUGCGGGAUGAAGGCCCUACGGGUCGUAAACCGCUUUUGCACGGGGAUAACACCCUCCACUUGUGGAGGUCUGCAGGUACCGUGCGAAUAAGGGCCGGCUAAUUCCGUGCCAGCAGCCGCGGUAAUACGGAAGGCCCGAGCGUUAUCCGGAUUCAUUGGGCUUAAAGGGAGCGUAGGCGGGCGUUCAAGUCAGCUGUAAAAUCGCGCGGCUCAACCGCGCCCCGCAGUUGAAACUGGACGCCUUGAGGUCACAACAGGCAGGCGGAAUUCGUGGUGUAGCGGUGAAAUGCAUAGAUAUCACGAGGAACACCAGUGGCGAAGGCGGUCUGCUGGACAGCAACUGACGCUGAGGCGCGAAAGCGUGGGGAGCAAACAGGAUUAGAUACCCGAGUAGUC